CGGGGUCCUUCACAAACUGUUUGUGUGAUCACACCAAACACUCAGCUGUAACUCUCCAAAACAAUCCAAGAAAGUAUGUGUCAAUGAAAAUGGAGACAGACAUACAUACAUCAUUGGAGGCUCCUCAAAGGGGGAAGGGGGAGGGUCAUCCCCCUCAGUGAAUUUCAUAAAUAUUAAAAAAUGGACAAUUUUAAGUUAUCCUUUUAAGAUGAAACUAUACUAAAUAUAAUCACAUCACCAAAUAAUUGAUUAAAACACAUCAUUUCUCAAUGAAGGUGUAAAGUAGCCUCAACAGCACUCUGUAGGGUAGCACAAGUGUGUAGCCAGAGGACCCGCUAGCUUCCGUCCUCCUCUCGGUACAUUGACUUCCAUACAAAACCUAGCAGGUUCAUGGUUGUCACCCCCUUCCAUAGUCUUACACAGUAAUUAUGAAC
ensembl:lncRNA